rnacentral:lncRNA from 1 species
CUGGCCAGUAGAAGGAAAGGACAGCAUCUCUUGACAGUGACCAAGAAUGAAUGAGAGCCUUGGCGUUCCUGGCCAGUAGAAGGAAAGGACAGCAACUCUUGACAGUGACCAAGAAUGAAUGAGAGGUGGGAUGUAUUUCCUUUCUUUAUCUUUUGUAUUUUUGCUUUCUUUUGUGUUGUCCAUCUAGUUCUGAUUGUAUGUUUAAUGACCUGUAUCUAUUUUGGGGGCUAUUUUUCAGAAUCUUUCUUAAAUUGAUUUUCUACAAGGACUGAGAAGACCCAAGCGUAUAUCAUUAAAGGAAG